rnacentral:rRNA from 1 species
GACGAACGCUGGCGGCGUGCUUAACACAUGCAAGUCGAACGGAAAGGCCCUGCUUUUGUGGGGUGCUCGAGUGGCGAACGGGUGAGUAACACGUGAGUAACCUGCCCUUGACUUUGGGAUAACUUCAGGAAACUGGGGCUAAUACCGGAUAGGAGCUCCUGCUGCAUGGUGGGGGAUGGUAAGUUUCGGCGGUUGGGGAUGGACUCGCGGCUUAUCAGCUUGUUGGUGGGGUAGUGGCUUACCAAGGCUUUGACGGGUAGCCGGCCUGAGAGGGUGACCGGCCACAUUGGGACUGAGAUACGGCCCAGACUCCUACGGGAGGCAGCAGUGGGGAAUAUUGCACAAUGGGCGGAAGCCUGAUGCAGCAACGCCGCGUGCGGGAUGACGGCCUUCGGGUUGUAAACCGCUUUCGCCUGUGACGAAGCGUGAGUGACGGUAAUGGGUAAAGAAGCACCGGCUAACUACGUG